CGGCGGCGGUGGAAGACCCAACUCCGAGCGCCGGUAUCGCGUCAGGAAUGAAUAAAUACGAUGGCUUCUGGCUUCCAUGUGGCGGAGCUUGUCCCUGCGAUGUGUCUCUGCGUGCUGUCAGCUGCUGAGAGUCAAGUGAUAAGCGCACCUUUUGUUAAUUCUUUCUUUUUUUUCCUCGUGCACAUAGAGCAACCAUCAACGCCUUUUUUUAUUUAUUUUAAUUCAUAAUUUUACUUCAUUAGCGAUGUAAAAUGGAUUGUUGCAAUACAUCAGCAUUCUGAGAGGACUGUGUGAUAACCUAUGUGUAUGGCUGUAGAGGGUACCUGAAAUUCCGGGAGGAAUAUGCAAGGAGAACAGAAACGAACAAAUGUGCGUACAAUCCUAUUUUAGAAAAGCAUUGAUCCAUUCUUAGAAUGGAAGAUGAAGCAAAGUAUACAUGUGCCUUGAGCAGCAUUAUAAAUAAUCAGAAGUAUGAAUAAUUGGGUUAAUAACCAGGAUUUAACUGCUUUCUUCUUCUAGAAGGAUAAGGGAAUAGUUUAAGAGAAAAGUGUUGCUCUCUAUAAGAUACCAUGAAUGCUAAUUUCAUUACAUCAGCUGCUUGAAUGCUGUAACUCAUGCAGAAGUUUUUUUAUUGGGCAGAAACUAUGUUUUGCAGUAUACUUUUCCAAAGUGUUAUGAACUCUGGAAUAGGUUAUUCAUAGCAAGAUAGUAUUUGGCAGACUUGGUUAAGAUAUUGGUUCAUCAAGCUAAUUAUUCUACCAACAGCAGCAUCCUUUUCCUGAUACUUUAGUCAGGAGUGAUGUCAGAUGAAAUGAAGUAAAUCAUGAUGUCGGACUGAUGGCACAUAAAUGUUACUAACUGAAAAUUUUGACAUAUUGUGAUAACUAGGAGAGCAUUUUGUAGGGGAAAAAAACCCCAACAACACUGCUUAUCUGUAAAAAUAAUUUAGUUUUGAUAGGAAGGAUUUUCUGGAAUAGCUGUGGUAACAUACAGAUUGGUGUCUAUGUGCUUAUUUUGAUGAGCAAAUCAAAGCCAGAAAUGAGCUAUACUGAACUGGCUAAUUCUCUCCUUUCUCCUCUGUGAAGCUAAAGGAUCAGCCUUCAAGUAAUAAUGCUCUCUUGCACUGUGGGAGGAUAUUAACUGCUUUGGUGUCCAUCACAAUGAAUGAAUUUCUGGGGAUGUAGGGAGGAUGAAGCAGGACUGUGUGUACAGCCUCAUUAAGAAAACCAGGUUAUCCACUCUCUGUUACUAGAAUUUUCAGUAGUUCCAUGGUUUCCAGCCUCAUGCUAUGUCUUCAAAACUACUAACUUGCCAGAGUCUGAUCCUACAAAAUAAUGAACAAUUUCUGGAGGUUCUUAAUGUUCUUCUGUUUAGAGCAGGGAACUCUCAGCACCCACAAAAAUUCUUAGUGUUUAAGAGCAGCAUGGAUUAUUAGGAUUAUCUGAUAUGCUGCCAUACAUGACAAAUGAUGGAACUUCAUACUGGGACAGCAUGUCUUACCUAAAAUUGCACUGUAUGUGUCAGGUUGGUGACCUGCUCACAAAAGGACAACAGUUGUCCAAACCCAGAGCAAUGUUUGUCAGAGGCUCUAGCAGAGAAUUCUUACCAUGAAUAAGGAACAAAACCUAACAGGGACAGGAGGAAUGACUACCUAUGAAGAUAGAGUUUUGCAGAAAUUGUGUUUAUAAGCAAGUAAUCUUUUUCAUAGUCACAGUAAAAUUGCUCUAUCAGUCUUUGUCCUUGGAAAUCCUGAAGUGGCAAUUACUUUGGACACCGAGUAAACAAGCAGUGCAGGAGGAUACUUAUGCCAAGGACAGGUAGAAGAAAUUGGAUGCAAAUAUUUGCACUUCAGAUUUCAUUCAGCCAGGAGGAAGGUUUCUAGAAAUUACACAGAUUCUGGAGUGAGAUGUCUAUUUGCAUUUUAAAGAAAACAAACAACAACAAAAAAAGCGCAAAACCUUAAGUGAUGUCAAGCAUAUAGAUUUUUUUUUAAAAUGAUUGUUUCAUUAGGUAAAAAAACUCAGAGUUUAAUGGUCCUAUUAUUUAAAAAUUUUGUAAACCAGAUGUUUAAUUUUUUGAAUAGGAGCACAUCAAUUUUGAGAUGAUGUUAAAGGAUUGUAAAAUUACAGUGAUGUAAAAUUAUAACAUGAGUAUUUCGUCUCAUUUUUUCCUUUCUGGAACAAAAAACAAAGGCAUAACAGUUCAGAACUUCAAACAAAUUACAAUGUUUUCACUACACCAGAACAUCAGUAAAUAAAAUCGUAGUAAGUCUUCUCAUGAGACCUUAUACACUUACGGAUUGUCUUGGUUUUGAUUAAAAGAAUAAAAUUACUUCCAGUUUUACCAUUUUGUGUGAAAGGGAGAUGUAAGGCCCACAAGUAUUCAAACUUAGUGCAUGAAGUUCAUCUCCCAUUUAACACCAAUGAAGUCCUUUUUACAUUCUUACAGUUGCUUCAUUGUUCUAGCUGAAUUCAACCACUAUGAGGUCUUUUGGGAAAAAAAGACAGUGCUUUGUUCAGGAGGCGACUGAAAAGUGCAUUACUACUUUAAAUAGUGCAUUAUGUGCCAGUUGAAAUAGAAGCUGAAAUAUUCCUGAAAACCAGGAGGUUUAUUUGUCCCCAUUCCUACACACAUGCUCCUGUGGCUAAUCGGUAUUUUGAAUACCUAGUGAGGUAGAUGCUGCUGUGGCACACUCAAGAUGUGGGAUAUGCACCAAGAAAGCAAAGUUCUCCGUUGUGUUCUUUUAUGUAGAGUUGAUGAAAUAGCUACUUUUCAUGAGAUCAACCAUUCAGGGUGUUCCCACAGCAAACACAGCAAUCUGAUUUAGCAGGCUGGCUGGAUUGUGCUAACUGAUCCACAGAAAGUUGUGACUCUGUUUGCGAGUUGCUUCUCUUUUAAAUGCUGAAUUGUACAACUUGUUGAUAGUAUCAGAGCUUGGAGAGCAAGACCAAAAGUCUGAAGCACGUCCUAAUCCUUGAGAUUCUCAUUGCCAUGUGCUGGUUCAAUGAGUACAGCACUAUUGCAGAGCCUGUCAUGUUUUGUAGUAUGAAAAGGCAUUUAGGCAAGAAAUAAGUGAAAUUUAAUCUACUCCAGCAAAAUAAAUUCCCGGUUCUUGAGCAUGAAGUAAAAGCUCCGUUACAUAUGCUGUCCACAAUGGGUAGUAAAUUAAAAUUUAAUGGAGAUUUCCUCUGCAAGUUACAGAGAAAAAGCAAACAAACAAACAAAAAAAAGCAAAAUCAACAAAACCCAAGAAAGAGCAAGAUUCAGAUUGCCUGGGAUUAUAGGAACUGGAGGAAAAAUAAAGACUGGUAAACUGAAUGCCUUUAAAUAACCAGAAAACAUCAUGAAAACCUAAAACUUUAAGAAUGCAAAGGAAAUUUAAUUAUUAAUUCAGAAAUUACUUCUCUUAUACUUAGAGUUCAUACAAUAUUUUAGAUUAGAGAUAGUUAACACAGAUUGUUCUAUGUUAAUUUCAUUUUCAUAUUGGUUUCUCCCAGAUUACAGUUGCACUUACAGCUGUAAAAAGGUAAACACCUAUAACUCGAGACUUACAUAGUGUUAUGCCUUAUAAGAAAAAUAUUGUGAAGGAAAUACAUUUGUUUUUAUUUCGGACAGAACUCUGUACUUUUCUUUCAUUGUUGCCAUUUACUGCUUUCUGUUUGUUGUGACUUACUCAUUUAGGGAAGAAUUGGGGGUUUUGUUCUUUUGCUUGGUCUUUUUUAAGGAGUAGUGAUUUUAAACCAAUAAAAACUGUGAAAAGUGAAGAUAUGCAGAACAAAUAUGAUGCAACUUUAAUUUUAUCAAGAUAAUCUGAUUUCAGGUUGAUAGUACUUCUUUAAGUUUUAACCUACCAUGGUCAAGACAAUCUUAUGUUUCUACUUACAGAAAUAAUGGAUUUAUAUUUUGAUAAUAUGACAUGCAUAACUUAGAAAAUACUUAAUUUCGUACACUAUUUUUUUUCUCUUUUUUUUUUUUUUUAUGCAAAGGAAUCUUAACCCCUUUGCUAUUUGAAGCAAAAUUCUGGAUAAUUUACAGUACCAUAAGUGCUCUGUGUUAACAUGUAUCAUUGCCUUUACAGAAUCCUCUGGGAAAGAAAAGUGACACUGUAAAAACUUUCAAAUAAUUUUAGGUUUCACUGGCUAGGAAGGGGAAACUGACCAAGACGCUCUUAAGCCUAAAUCAAGCUAAGACAAGAAGCCAGUACUCCAGCCAUAAGCAGGAACAGGUUGGUGGAGGAAUAAGGAGCAGUAACAGAUACCUGGACUCUGGAAGAGGCUGAGAAUGAGUGAGAAGAGGGUCCUUGAAUGCAGAUCUCCAAAACUGAAUGAAAAUAAGUAUUAAGAACACAUGAAGGGAAAAAAAAAAUAAAAAGGAGGGGGUGGAGAGAGGAAUAGGUAAAGAAGAAGAAAUUGCAAUAUGGUAAAAGAAAAGGUGGAAGUGAACAAUGGAGCCAGAGACCUAUGCAAAAAUAAAUGAAAAGAAUGAAGGAAAAACAUUAUUUGAUAUUUCAGAGAACUGGAGGAAGUAAUUGAGAUUAAAUCUGGGAGAAAAUCACAGAGAAUGAACACAGAAGGCUACAAAUCUCAUUGCAGCUCACAGCUUUCCCAGUGUGCUGAAUGACUAACUCAACAAUCUCAUCCAACUUGUGAAAUAUUCAAAAUACCAUUAGUUAAUUUUGUAACCUCCUCCCUGGAAAUGCAGUACACUUUUUGUACCUCUAGAAAUGUGUCUCACAAGUUAAGAAGUGAUUAAUUUGACAAGUUAUUGAGCCCAACUGUCCCAUCAGUAACCAACUUGAAUAGGAAGGCCAGUAAAUAUGUUGACAGCAGAACAUCAGUGAGUAAAAUAAUGAUCAUUCUGUAGAGGUUAAAUGGGAAUGGCAAAACAGCUAUGCUGGCUCUUGCCCACUCUGAGCUUGUGCAGUAAAUAAGUGUUGUCAGUCAGUCUCCAAAUGUUACAUUCAAGAGUGAAAUCAAGAUAAAAGAUCUGAGCCUAUCCCUGAUCUGUUCUCUUAUAAAAAGAAGACAUUUUAUGAAUAUUGUCUGAGUGUUAAUGAAUUCAGAAUGUAAACAGGGGCUGAUAUAUUUGAUUUAUAAACACAGUAUAGGAAACAAUCCCUAAUUUCUUGGAGUUCUUGGCAUCUUGCAAGGACUCCUGUCCCUUUUAGUAUCCAGUAUGGAUUAUGUUAAAAGUAAAUUCCUCUGUUAAAUGUCAGCAAAUCCAAUAAAUGCAUUAGCAUCUUAUCUAA